CCAGCGCCGGACACGCCUCCCGUGGCCCGCCGUGGCCCCUGCCCUCACCUCAGGGUCCCCCCCUCACCUCGGGGUCUCUCCCUCACCUCGGGGUGUCUCCUUCAUCUCUGGGUCUCUCCAUCACCUCGGGGUCCCUUCCUCACCUCGGGGUCUCUCCCUCACCCGGGUUCCCGCCCUCACCCGGGUUCCCUCUUCCCUCAGGGCCGUUCCCUCCCUCAGCCCGGGGUCUCUCCCCUCAGCGCGGGGUCUCUCCCUCACCCGGAGUCCCUCUCUCCCCUCAGGGCCGUUCCCCCUCACCCUUGGCCGCCUCCCCGGCGGGAAGGGGCGCCGAGAGCUGCGGUCGGAGCUGCCCCGCACGGCCCCGGGGCUGUGCCCCCCGCUGCCAAAGGUGAGGACGCGGCGCUGGCUCGGCUCGUCCCCAGAGGGCAGACACUGAUGUCAUGAGAAGGAAGCACAUAACCAGAGCUGUGCGAAGCAUUCGCAAUAAAACCCCAAACCAUGGAAAACUUGCCUCAUCUGUAACUCCACUAGCAGGAAAGUAGAACCAGCUAAAAAUUGUUACUAUCCCAUGGCUGCUGAUGAGGAAAGAGCUGCUCUAUUCGUUCUCCUUCAUAGUAAACAAGAAUCCACUGCAAAACCUGAAGUUUUCAUCUCAAGGAGAAUCUCAAAAUGAUUGUUUUUAAAGCUGAUGCUGCUCUUUAAUCCAGAGCAACUGUUGAUACCAAAGCAGAUGCUCCUCCUGGGAUCCCAUGGACCACUCACAGCAGGCUGCAACUACCAGAGCUCUUUCUCACGACACCUCCCUCCUGGCCAGCAAGUCCUGCACGUAUUCCAGAUACUCCAGACUGCUUUGUCGCAGAUAUUUGACAACAUUUUGUUUCUUCUGGAACUCCACACACAUUUACAACUUUUAUUCCCACUCCUCCUAGAAGUCCCAUCCCUCCUUUUCUUCUUUUCUCUGUUUGAACUCGACUAAUGGUGGGAAAGGAGGGAGGGGUUGCAGUUGGUUUUGGGUAGGUGGCUCUGGCUCUCCCUGUGAGAAGUGUGUGUAUUGCAGAGUGAGAUCUCUCUGCUUCACUGACAGAGAGUUUUCUUAGCCCGUCCUGUCUGUGUAUUUUAUGUACACAGACACUCUGGUCCUGCAGAGGAGAGGUGCAAAU